rnacentral:sRNA from 1 species
GCCGGGUGUGGUGGUACACACCUGUAAUCCCAGCAGCUCAGGAGGCUGAGGCAGGAGAAUCGUGAGUUCAAAGCCAGCCUCAGCAAAAGCAAGGUGCUAAGCAACUCAAUGAGACCCCGUCUCUA